rnacentral:rRNA from 1 species
AGUAAUAGUUAUUGUCUUGAAAUCUAAAAUAUAUGGCGGUAUUUUAUCUAUUCAGAGGAACCUGUUUCGUAAUUGAUAGUCCACGAUUUAAUUUACUUUAAAUUUUAGCUUGUAUAUCGUUGUGAAAGAUUAUUUUAAUAAAAUUUGAAAUAAUUAAUAUUUUGAAUUAAGUUUAAAUCAAAUCAAGAUGCAGCUUAUUUUAAAGAGAUUAAUGGGUUACAUUGAAUAUAUUUUUAGUUUAUUAUUUUUAUUUUUAGUAAUAAAUUGGAUUUGAUAGUAAUAUUAUUUAGAUAUUUAAUAUGAUUUUAGCUCUAAAAUAUGC